rnacentral:misc_RNA from 1 species
CGCGAUAACGUCUUAGCUACGUCUCCUUGAUUUUUAGUGUUUUUCCUUUCUCUUUCUUCGACAGGGUUUUGAUUUCGGCAAUUAAUUUAAGUUUGGUGUCAAAAAGGAAAUUGCUUAAAGUUUGCCGAGGAAUCAGAAGUAAAUAUAUUUCUCUCUCUCUUUUUUUUUUUUGGGAGAAGGGAUUUGCUAUUGGAGCUUGUGUUUUGUGUAUUGUGAUGAGUACGCGAACUUCAUGGGCAGAUUUGGCUGCAAAUUCUGCAGCUGAGAACUUGGCUGGUUCUUCUGCUAACAAUGGAAGUGUACGCACCACUUCAGCAGCUCCUGCCCGAUCCACCUAUGUUCCUCCACAUCUCCGUAAUCUUGUGCCCUCUUCAGACCCACCAGCUCCAGCUUACAGUGGGCCUGCAACAAUUAAUUAUCGUCCGGGAUAUGGUGGAUCCCGUUGGGGGGCUCCCAGAAACGACUAUCGAUCUGGAUCUGGUGGUGGUGGUAGAAGCGGUGGUUGGGGCAACAGAAGCGGUGGUUGGGAUCGCAGGAGAGAGCCCGAAGUGAACCCAUUCGGUGAUGAUGACGAUACAGAGCAGACAAUUACUGAGCAAGAG